rnacentral:rRNA from 1 species
UACAGAGGUCUCAAGCGUUGUUCGGAUUCAUUGGGCGUAAAGGGUGCGUAGGCGGCGCGGUAAGUCGGGUGUGAAAUCUCCAGGCUCAACCUGGAGGGGUCAUUCGAUAACUGCCGUGACUAGAGUUCGGUAGAGGAGUGUGGAAUUCCUGGUGGAGCGGUGAAAUGCGCAGAGAUCAGGAGGAACACCCGUAGCGAAGGCGGCACUCUGGGCCGAUACUGACACUGAGGAGCGAAAGCGUGGGGAGCGAACAGG